ACAAGCAUUCAAUAGCAGUUAAUGAAGUAUGUAACAAUCCGCACCUACUUGGAAAAUAAAUCUUUUUAAAUCAACAUCUUCUACUUCUAAGAUUAGCCAAUCUUUUUUUUCUUUUUUACUUCUAAGAUUAGCCAUCUCUCACCUUUUCCCUGCUACUCACUCGAACUCUAUUAAAGUAGUGAAAAUCACUCAAACUCAAUUAAGUAGCACCAUCAUUCAAUUAUAUGAUCCAGCAUCAAAAGUCCAAAAAAAAUCAUUAUCUUUUUCAUAUGUUCAUUUUUUAGUUCAAGUCCAUGCUCACUACUUCUUUAAAUUGGAAUCCACAACCUAGAAACUUCAUGGCUUUUGAUAUUUCUACAUUCAGUAAUCUUUCCCAUCAUCCUAGUUUGAUCUAACAUUACGGGGACUAAUGGCAAUAGUUAUGACGUGUUUCUGAGCUUUAACAUGAAUUCUACAAAUAUAACCUCUGCAACUCUAUGUAGCCCCGUCUCCGCCGAAAAAUUUCUUUCAGGUGUCAGAUGUUCAAGCCAUGAUGACUUUAGUAGGUUUCCUUUACGUGUGACGUAAAUUGCACUAGUGCUGAAAACUUGAGUAUGCAUGGUAUAAGCAAGAAGCAUCUAAGGUGAAGCAAGACCUUGAGGAUAUAGCGAAUGGAGAGACUAUGAAGAUGAUGAUGAGUUGAUGAUGAAACUUGUAUCAUUUGUGCAACCCAAAGAUGGUUCCAUGUUGUGUAACGUGUUACAAUGUGUUUAAGAAGUAAUGAAACUGUUGUCUUUUGGUGUUAA